rnacentral:rRNA from 1 species
UUGCUCCUUGAUUCAGCGGCGGACGGGUGARUAAUGCCUAGGAAUCUGCCUGGUAGUGGGGGACAACSUUUCGAAAGGAACGCUAAUACCGCAUACGUCCUACGGGAGAAAGCAGGGGACCUUCGGGCCUUGCGCUAUCAGAUGAGCCUAGGUCGGAUUAGMUAGUUGGUGGGGUAAUGGCUCACCAAGGCGACGAUCCGUAACUGGUCUGAGAGGAU